rnacentral:rRNA from 1 species
GAUUGAGUUUGAUCCUGGCUCAGGAUGAACGCUGGCGGCGUGCUUAACACAUGCAAGUCGAACGGAGAUAUCAUUUUCGAAGCGAUUAGUUUACUAAGAGUGGAGAUGUUGGUAUCUUAGUGGCGGACGGGUGAGUAACGCGUGGGUAACCUGCCUUACACUAGGGGAUAACACUUAGAAAUAGGUGCUAAUACCGCAUAACAGGGAAAGAUGCAUGUCUUUUCCUUGAAAACUCCGGUGGUGUAAGAUGGACCCGCGUCUGAUUAGCUGGUUGGCGGGGUAACGGCCCACCAAGGCGACGAUCAGUAGCCGGCCUGAGAGGGUGAACGGCCACAUUGGGACUGAGACACGGCCCAAACUCCUACGGGAGGCAGCAGUGGGGAAUAUUGGACAAUGGGGGGAACCCUGAUCCAGCGACGCCGCGUGAGUGAAGAAGUAUUUCGGUAUGUAAAGCUCUAUCAGCAGGGAAGAAAGAAAUGACGGUACCUGACUAAGAAGCCCCGGCUAACUACGUGCCAGCAGCCGCGGUAAUACGUAGGGGGCAAGCGUUAUCCGGAUUUACUGGGUGUAAAGGGAGCGUAGACGGCGAUGCAAGUCUGAAGUGAAAGGCGGGGGCCCAACCCCCGGACUGCUUUGGAAACUGUAUAGCUGGAGUGCANGANAGGUAAGUGGAAUUCCUAGUGUAGCGGGUGAAUGCGUA